rnacentral:pre_miRNA from 1 species
UCUUGUGAAUGAGAAAAGAAAGUAGUUUCCUGAGAUGGAAUCUACUCCUGGUAAAGAGGCUGUGAA